rnacentral:snRNA from 1 species
GUGCUCACUUUGGCAGCACAUAUAUUAAAAUUGGAAAAAUACAGAGGUAACAUGUCCCUUUAGCAAGGAUGAUAUGUAAAUUCAUGAAGUUUUCUGUAAAUAA